AUGCCCAUCAGUAUUGGCAGUGUGGGCUUGCUCCAGGAUGGUAGCCUCUCCCAGUUAGCUCUGACCCAGUCAGAUGCAGCACUGAAGAAACCAGGAGAAUCCCAUAAAUUGAAUUGUGCUGUCACAGGAUUCAACAUUAACAGCUACUGGAUGGGUGGCCUCUCCCAGGUAGCGUUGACCCAGUCAGAUGCAGCGCUGAAGAAACCAGGAGAAUCCCAUAAAUUGACUUGUGCUGUCACAGGAUUCAAUGUUAACAGCUACUGGAUGGGUUGGUUCAGACAGAAACCUAGCCAAGGACUGGAAUGGCUUGUUUUCUACUACAUAUCUAGUAGCAACAAUUAUUCCCCAACAAUCCAAGGACGUUUUACUGCCUCCAAGGACAGUUCCAACUUCUAUUUGCAAAUGAACAACCUAAAAGCCGAAGACACAGCUGUCUAUUACUGUGCAAGAUACACAGUGAAAUAG